rnacentral:lncRNA from 1 species
GGGAGUAUAAGGAAUCAGUGCUCGUAGCCUAAGAGGGGGAGGGGUGAAUUAGGCAACUUAAAACCUUAACCUACUUUGCAUCAAAAUAUAAUCUUGAUCAUGCUAACCUAUAAUGACUCUCCUAAGUUUGUGCUAAGCCUUUGAUGGACCACUUUUAGCACUUUUGGUGGUUUGGAUGUGUUUUUGCUGAGUCUUGGUCUUCAAGGCAUCCCUUGACACUCCAGCAACCCCAAAUGGGUGAGUGAUGACGGUAUAAAUAGCCCCAAGGGCUCAAAGAGCCAUUGCUCCAAUGGCUAGUAAAAAAGUAUACCAUCGAAUGUUCCAAUGGUCUAAUUUUGGCCUGCAUCAGAACAUCUGGUGCAACAAGCCGUUGGAAUCCCUACGCCCAGAUUCCUCAGGAAUUCAUCUGAUGCUUUAUCCGAGAUGCCCGUCAGACCAUCCAGUGCCACUGUCCACAUCACAUAGCCAUUGGAUUCCCUGACGUUAUUGCUCCGAUGCUUCAUCCAAUGCUUCCAUCGGAUCAUCUGGUGCUAAUAAAGGGUUUUUUACCCGAAACCUUCUGUCAGGAAUCAAAGUAAAUAUGCUUUGUCCAACGCUCCUCUUGGACUACCAUCGGAUCAUCUACUGCUAUUGGACUUCUUCAUCUUUCAAG